AUUGAACGCUGGCGGCAGGCUUAACACAUGCAAGUCGAGCGGUAACAGAGAGAAGCUUGCUUCUCUGCUGACGAGCGGCGGACGGGUGAGUAAUGCCUAGGAAUCUGCCUAGUAGUGGGGGAUAACUUGCCGAAAGGUAAGCUAAUACCGCAUACGUCCUACGGGAGAAAGGAGGGGACCUUCGGGCCUUUCGCUAUGAGAUGAGCCUAGGUCGGAUUAGUUAGUUGGUGAGGUAAUGGCUCACCAAGACCGCGAUCCGUAACUGGUCUGAGGGGAUGAUCAGUCACACUGGAACUGAGACACGGUCCAGACUCCUACGGGAGGCAGCAGUGGGGAAUAUUGGACAAUGGGGGGAACCCUGAUCCAGCCAUGCCGCGUGUGUGAAGAAGGUCUUAGGAUUGUAAAGCACUUUAAGUUGGGAGGAAGAGCAGUUAACUAAUAUUUGACUGUUUUGACGUUACCGACAGAAUAAGCACCGGCUAACUUCGUGCCAGCAGCCGCAGUAA
rnacentral:rRNA from 1 species